rnacentral:lncRNA from 1 species
GGAAGUCUUGUGAGAGAGGGACUAACAGGGAGUAUGUUUGUUUGUCUCCUUUGAGACCUACACUGAAUUUAUUGAAUAUUCUGGUCUUUUCCUCUCUAGCCACUACCUCCUUCGUUAGACCACAAGGUAUGUCCUUUUGGAAAAGUCAACUUCAUUGAUCUGCAAGGACUGUUGAAAAUUUAAAAAUUUGCUAUGGGAUUUCUGACAUGCCAGAAGCCACUAGAAAAAGAAUUUUGAUGUUCAGAACCUCAUGAAGAGGUUCCCCUCAUCUUUGGAUAGAGACCAAAAUGAUGCUUUCAAGUAAAUGAUGACAUCAGCAGGAACACAGAACUUGUUGGUUACAAGGUGGAACACUUGUGUGCCAUGAAGCCAAAAGGGGAUUGCAGUGGCAAAGCUAGGCUAGGUCUUGGAGGCUGGUGCAAGGCGAAGCGGGUGAAGGCAGGAGGCUGAUGGAGAGACUGGGGGGAAGAAAAGCCGAAAUGGAUUCACAGUGCCUUGGAUGGAGGACGAGAGGGGAAUUGCAAGCUCCUUCAACUCGUUCUGUCCGGUGAGAAGUGAUCAAGCUUGGGCUGACAAGAGGCUCAGGAAGCCCUCACGUUCUUUCGCUUUUUUACCUGCCAAUCAAACUGCUACAAGACAACACCCUGAUCUGGCAUGGACAUCGCGGGGUCCAAGCCUGUAG